GCACCCGUAGCUCAGUGGAUUAGAGCACUGGUCUUCGGAACCAGGUGUCGCUAGUUCGAAUCUAGCCGGGUGUACCA
rnacentral:tRNA from 1 species